rnacentral:tRNA from 1 species
CAGGGAGACGACAAAAUGUUUAAUAUUAUUAUUUUGUCACCUUAGGUCGAUCGGUAUCUCACGUUUUUAAUUUAUUAAGAAUUUCAUUUCCUAAGUUUUUCUAGGUCACACCCAUUAUUUUUCCUGGGCCAUUAGCUCAGGUGGUUAGAGCGCACCCCUGAUAAGGGUGAGGUCCCUGGUUCAAGUCCAGGACGGCCCAUAUCUCUAUGUUGGGGGUAUAGCUCAGUUGGUAGAGCGCCUGCUUUGCAAGCAGGAUGUCAGCGGUUCGAGUCCGCUUACCUCCACUGAUUACCACCUCUUCCAUAAUCUGUAGAAAGGAAAAUUUUUGAGUUGUGAUCAUAAAUCUGAGCGAAUCUAGCUUCCUAAUGAAACAUUAAGAUGCUGGACUCACUGAAUUAAUUUCAUUGUUUUCAGAGAACCUUGACAACUGCAUAGAUUAUUUUUAAAGACAAUAAGCAUCUUUAUGAUGCAGAUUUAUUAUUUGUGUGAAUGCAUUAAUUACAAUUCUAUUAAGCUGAUGCUUCAAAUUUGAAGUUAUU